rnacentral:rRNA from 1 species
AUUGAACGCUGGCGGCAGGCCUAACACAUGCAAGUCGAACGAUGGGCGACGGGGGGGUAAAUACAGCGGAAUUUCCUCUGGCGGGGGGGUUACCGUAGGGAAACUUAGGCUAAUACCGCAUACGUUUGAAUUAGCCGAUGUCGGAUUGGCUAGUUGGCGGGGUAAGGGCCCACCAAGGCGACGAUCCGUAGCUGGUCUGAGAGGAUGAUCAGCCACACUGGAACUGAGACACGGUCCAGACUCCUACGGGAGGCAGCAGUGGGGAAUAUUGGACAAUGGGCGCAAGCCUGAUCCAGCCAUACCGCGUGGGUGAAGAAGGCCUUCGGGUUGUAAAGUCCUUUUGUUGGGAAAGCGGUACCCACAGAAUAAGCACCGGCUAACUCCGUGCCAGCAGCCGCGGUAAUAC